rnacentral:rRNA from 1 species
GAUGAACGCUGGCGGCGUGCCUAAUACAUGCAAGUCGAGCGAACAGACGAGGAGCUUGCUCCUCUGACGUUAGCGGCGGACGGGUGAGUAAAACGUGGAUAACCUCCCUAUAAGACUGGGAUAACUUCGGGAAACCGGAGCUAAUACCGGAUAAUAUAUUGAACCGCAUGGUUCAAUAGUGAAAGACGGCUUUGCUGUCACUUAUAGAUGGAUCCGCCCCGCAUUAGCUAGUUGGUAAGGUAACGGCUUACCAAGGCAACGAUGCGUAGCCGACCUGAGAGGGUGAUCGGCCACACUGGAACUGAGACACGGUCCAGGCUCCUACGGGAGGCAGCAGUAGGGAAUCUUCCGCAAUGGGCGAAAGCCUGACGGAGCAACGCCGCGUGAGUGAUGAAGGUCUUCGGAUCGUAAAACUCUGUUAUUAGGGAAGAACAAAUGUGUAAGUAACUAUGCACGUCUUGACGGUACCUAAUCAGAAAGCCACGGCUAACUACGUG